AACCAACAUUGUUUCCUAUAACAACUUGAAGAGAUAUUUUCAACCAUCCAUACGUCGAUUUUCUCAACCAUAAAUCAAGUAACUCUCUCCAUAUACAACAGCACUUUUCCAAGGUUUACCACAUCUUGAAGCAGCUACGUACAAAGCACCAUGAGUUCUAAAAGCAUAAAUAUUCAAAAUGCUCUUUGUUAUACUACAAGGCCUGCUCCACGGAGCAAUAACUCCAACUCUUCAUCCUCAGGGACUCAAUUGCCAACUAUUCAAAAAGUCUUUUCAAGGAGGUUCUGUGAUGAUGAGUAAUAUUUUUCAUGUACCACGACUCUCAAUUAAAAAAAUGUUCAGCGGCUUACCCAAAAGGCAGGCAUACAGUUGAAGAUGAAAAAAAAAAGACAGCACAGAACAGAACAUGAUGCAAGGUCAUCCAUAAUAUAGCAUGGGUAUUACCAUGAUGUGUUUGUACAAUUUGCCAGCUUAAACUUGUUUAACUAGUAAAUAAUCAAAGUUGGACAUGUCCAUAAAACCACUGUAUGCUACUGUUAAUUACGGCAUCAAAAUUAUUUACAUAAUAGCACCAUUUAGCAUUUGACCUUCCUA